UCCCUGGUGGCCCAGCGGUUAAGGCUCCACGCUCCCAAUGUGGGGGACACGGGAUCAAUCCCUGGUCGAGGAA
rnacentral:tRNA from 1 species